CCUACGGGAGGCAGCAGCCGCGGUAAUAUUGGACAAUGGGCGCAAGCCUGAUCCAGCAAUGCCGCGUGAGUGAGGAAGGCCUUAGGGUUGUAAAGCUCUUUCGGCGGGGACGAUGAUGACGGUACCCGCAGAAGAAGCCCCGGCUAACUUCGUGCCAGCAGCCGCGGUAAU
rnacentral:rRNA from 1 species